CCGCAUCAUCGUGCAGGCUCAGCCUGAGUGGCUAAAAGUGAUCUCGGACACAGAGGCUGACAUUGGCUCCAACCUGCGUUGGGGCUGUGCAGCCGCCGGCAAGCCCCGGCCUACAGUGCGCUGGCUGCGGAACGGGGAGCCUCUGGCCUCCCAGAACCGGGUGGAGGUGUUGGCCGGGGACCUGCGGUUCUCCAAGCUGAGCCUGGAGGACUCGGGCAUGUACCAGUGUGUGGCAGAGAAUAAGCAUGGUACCAUCUACGCCAGCGCCGAGCUAGCCGUGCAAGCACUCGCCCCUGACUUCAGGCUGAAUCCCGUGAGGCGUCUGAUCCCCGCGGCCCGCGGGGGAGAGAUCGUUAUCCCCUGCCAGCCCCGGGCAGCUCCAAAGGCCGUGGUGCUCUGGAGCAAAGGCACGGAGAUUUUGGUCAACAGCAGCAGAGUGACUGUAACUCCAGAUGGCACCUUGAUCAUAAGAAACAUCAGCCGGUCAGAUGAAGGCAAAUACACCUGCUUUGCUGAGAACUUCAUGGGCAAAGCCAACAGCACUGGAAUCCUAUCUGUGCGAGAUGCAACCAAAAUCACUCUAGCCCCCUCAAGUGCCGACAUCAACUUGGGUGACAACCUGACCCUACAGUGCCAUGCCUCCCACGACCCCACCAUGGACCUCACCUUCACCUGGACCCUGGACGACUUCCCCAUCGACUUUGAUAAGCCUGGAGGGCACUACCGGAGAACUAAUGUGAAGGAGACCAUUGGGGAUCUGACCAUCCUGAAUGCCCAGCUGCGCCAUGGGGGGAAGUACACAUGCAUGGCCCAGACGGUGGUGGACAGCGCGUCCAAGGAGGCCACAGUCCUGGUCCGAGGUCCGCCAGGUCCCCCAGGAGGUGUGGUGGUGAGGGACAUUGGCGACACCACCAUCCAGCUCAGCUGGAGCCGUGGCUUCGACAACCACAGCCCCAUCGCUAAGUACACCCUGCAAGCUCGCACUCCACCUGCAGGGAAGUGGAAGCAGGUUCGGACCAAUCCUGCAAACAUCGAGGGCAAUGCCGAGACUGCACAGGUGCUGGGCCUCACCCCCUGGAUGGACUAUGAGUUCCGGGUCAUAGCCAGCAACAUUCUGGGCACUGGGGAGCCUAGUGGGCCCUCCAGCAAAAUCCGGACCAGGGAAGCAGGUGAGAGUCCUGUGUGUCCCAAAAAGCUAUCAUCAGGGCAGAGACCCUGGCACCACUUAUAGGGAAUGCCAAGCCAGCCGUAAUUAUGCUGAGUUCCAACCCUGCUCACAGGGUUCAGACUCUCACAAAACAGAGGAGGACAGAACACCAAGUUGGGACCAGGGCCACUGCAUGGACAAACCAUCUAGUCCAAACUCCUCAUUUAAAAACUGGCCAACCUUACAACUGCAUGUGCAUCUAUAAUUUUUUUAAGUUUAAUUUUUAAAAGUGGAAAAACCAAAGUUCGGAGAAAGGAAGAGUCACAUUGACAGAGCUUGGACUUGAACCCAGGACCAUGGGGUGGUAGACAGAUGUCUUCCUGGAAGAGUAUGCACUACAGAAAUCAGUUAAUGCUGGCUGGGCACAGUGGCUCAAGCCUGUAAUCCCAGCACUUUGGGAGGCCGAGGCGGGCAGAUCACCUGAGGUCAGAAGUUUGAGACCAGCCUGGCCAACAUGGUGAAACCCCGUCUCUACUAAAAAUACAAAAAUUAGCCAGGUGUGGUGACACACACCUGUAAAUCCCAGCUACUCGGGAGGCUGAAGCAGGAGAAUCGCUUGAACCCGGGAGGUGGAGGUUGCAG
rnacentral:sRNA from 1 species